rnacentral:rRNA from 1 species
AUUGAACGCUGGCGGCAGGCCUAACACAUGCAAGUCGAACGAGUGGCGGACGGGUGAGUAAUGUCUGGGAAACUGCCCGAUGGAGGGGGAUAACUACUGGAAACGGUAGCUAAUACCGCAUACCAUCGGAUGUGCCCCGAUGGGAUUAGCUAGUAGGUGGGGUAACGGCUCACCUAGGCGACGAUCCCUAGCUGGUCUGAGAGGAUGACCAACCACACUGGAACUGAGACACGGUCAAGACUCCUACGGGAGGCAGCAAAGGUGAAUAUUGCACAAUGGGCGCAAGCCUGGUGCAGCCAUGCCGCGUGUAUUAAGAAGGCCUUCGGGUUGUAAAGUACUUUCAGCGAGGAGGCAUUACUCGCAGAAGAAGCACCGGCUGACUCCGUACCAGCAGCCGCGGUAAUAC